CGACCCGCGAGUUCAUCUCGGAGGGGUCGUGCCGCAGCCGGCGGGCGGUACGUGGCGCUCGCUGCACUGGCAGUGACCGCGGGGGGUCAGCUCGCGCCGCGUGCGGACGUGGUCUCUGCUGCGCGCCCAGGAAGACCAAGAAGAGGAAGAUCCGGCUAGUUUGUGCGGACGGCACGCGUUACACCAAAGAAAUAGAGAUAGUACGCAAGUGUGCGUGCGGUAAGAAGUGUCCGCGCCAAACCAACCCCUUCCUGCAUUAGGCGCCACUAAAACGCCGGAUCACAAUACAAGCUCACUUACCUAAUAGAUAAGAUAUUAAUCAUCCACAGAUAAAAAAAAACGCGAAAACGCAAACGUCAGUUUGACAGAUCGAAACAGGAGGGCAAAGGUAAUCUUUUACAAUUUAAACGUGACGAGCACAGGCAAAAAGGAGAAAGUUUUUUUUUUUAAAAAAACUUUUUUAAAUUGUAAUGACAUAUAACAAGGCCAUACAAAAAUUUACGUAAAAAUAAGAUUUAUUAGCUAUUUCUAAAUAAGUUUUACAUACCAAUACAUACAUGUACAAAUACACUUAAACCUAUUCACAAUAGAUGGCGCCUUCAACGCAAUUUGUAAAAAAGUCGAUAUAAAAGUCGACACAAUACCUAACACUAUAAUCCCUUUGUACCAAUAAUAUACACAUAGACAAUAAUCGCAAUGAAUUUGUAUCGUUUUUUUUUAACUUGGCAAACAUUUGUCUUUGUCGUGUAGAAAUUUAAAACUUGAAAUUCGUAAGUGGAAUAAUAAAGAAUUGUAGUUUUUUUUUUUUAGUAACAUGGGUUUAAGAAAAAGUUAUACAGUGUUAAAAAAAAACUUUUUCAAAUACAUAACCUUUACACCCCAUAUUUAGUGUCAAAACAGACAGACUGAUUUUAAUGCAGUUUUCAAUAUUUUCAGAAAUAUUUCUUAGCUGUGUUCGAUAAAAAUCUACGACAGAUUGUUUUAAUAGAAUGUUCGAGUCUGAUUAGGAAUAUCAAGAAUUCUUUAAUCUUGUAAAAACAUAACAAUAACAAAACAUAACCACCUAUGUAUUUCAAGUUUUUUUUUUUCCUAAUAUAAGAAAGUAGAUGACCAUAAUGUAUCGAAUUUAUGGAAUAUAAGAUUAUACACAGAUGUAGUCACGGCCUAACAUGUAGUCGGUGUAGAUUCGGACUUAGGUGUCGGGGGGAAUGUAGACGUAACCUCAUUUAUAAAGAGUGUAGUCAAAUUAUUUGCCAGUGUUGAAAAUUAUAGGAUAUAAACAUUAAGGGAUAUGAUUUUAUAUAUAUUUUUUUAAUUUGUUGACUUAAAGUCACUAUAUCUUUUUGUCUUUGACGUGUAGGACGAUUUAAAAAGUAUAGUUUUUUUUUUUUAUCGCUGAUACAAAGGAAAGGUAUUUAUACUCAGUAUAAACGACAUAUCUGAUACGAAAUAAAUUAAAAACUUGAAAUUAAUCUUGAAUUUAAUUUAAUAAUAUACACAUAAUUUUUUUUU
rnacentral:lncRNA from 1 species